rnacentral:rRNA from 1 species
GAAGAAACAGAAAAAUCCCAUAAAUAAAAUGAUGGCAGAAUUCAGUGAAUCAUCGAAUGUUGAACGCACAUGGCCACCCCCAGUAUUCUGGCGGGCAUGCCUGUUCGAGCGUCAUGGGUUCAACCCUCAAGCACAGCGUGGUGUUGGGACUCGCGAACGCCGUCCCCCAAAUACAGUGGCGGUCCCGCCGCAGCUUCCAUUGCGUAGUAGCUAACACCUCGCAACGAUGGAGAGCGGCGCGGCCACGCCGUAAAACACCCAACUUGUGAAUCUUGACCUUGAAUCACGCAUGCAGUAGGCGAAUGCUGUGAGUUAAAAAAAGGAUCGGGUUCAACACGGUUGGGGUGGGCAUGGCCGCCAGGACGUCAUCACUCGGUGGACAGGUCAUCACCCUGUGAACAUACCUAAAACGUUGCCUCGGCGAGUAAUGUGAAUUGCAAAAUUCAGUGAAUCAUCGAAUCUUUGAACGCACAUUGCGCCCGCCAUAGGAACAGACGGCCCCGUAACACGGGCCGCCC